AGACGAACGUUAGCGGCGGGCCUAACACAUGCAAGUCGAACGCGAAAGGUCUUCGGACUGAGUAGAGUGGCGCACGGGUGAGUAACACGUAGGUAAUCUACCCUUUGGCGGGGGAUAACGUUCCGAAAGGAGCGCUGAUACCGCAUAAGACCACGGAGUCUCCGGACGCUGUGGGAAAAGGUGGCCUCUUCUUGAAAGCUAUCACCGAAGGAUGAGCCUGCGUCCCAUCAGCUAGUUGGUAAGGUAAUGGCUUACCAAGGCGAAGACGGGUAGCUGGUUUGAGAGAAUGAUCAGCCACACUGGCACUGGAACACGGGCCAGACUCCUACGGGAGGCAGCAGUGAGGAAUAUUGGGCAAUGGGCGAAAGCCUGACCCAGCCACGCCGCGUGAGUGAUGAAGGCCCUCGGGUCGUAAAGCUCUGUGGAGAGGGACGAAAACCCUGGUUUCAAAUAGGCUCCAGGCUUGACGGUACCUCUUUAGCAAGCACCGGCUAACUCUGUG
rnacentral:rRNA from 1 species